GGAAAUGGAACGCGUGAGGCCAAACAAGGAACAAUCCCCGGGUUGUUGGCUGAGCCAACAGGCUGCUGUCGCCGUGUGAGCGAACGCGCGGAUUACCCCGAUAGGAGGAAAUGGGCGAUGAUGGGGCGAUAAACGCGCCCGCUGUGUGACCACAAUUGAUUUGCAAUUGACCGAGCGCCGCUCCCGACCCCGCGCCCGCCCCGGUCUCACGGGCUGGGAAGCUCCCGGGGGCCGAGGCCGCGCUCCUCCUCCUGCUCGGACUGGGCGGUCGGUCCCGCUGUUACCCGCGCGGUGAUGGUUGUGACCGCAAUCAGAACUUUCCCUAAAGUAACGGAUAGUUAUUUUAGCACUAAUUUAGUUAACGCCAUUGUGAAAAGUCUUAGGAGAUCGAACAAUGCCCGGUGAAGAAAACAUCUGGCACAGGACUCAGUAAGGGAUAGAGGUUUAAAAAGUCUCCAGUCCUAGAUGCGAUGCUCCAUUUUACGAAGUGACUUUUUUUGUGUGGUGGCUGCUUGAAGUGCACCUUAUUUAAAAAUCUCCACAGAAUGUAAAACUGAGUGAGUCUAGUCGGGGGAGCCGGGCGAGUCUGUAAAUUACCGCUCUGUCAGGAUUCCUCUUGCCUCUUACAAAGUACCUUUUUAUGCUGAACUUAAACUUUACACUACAGAGACAGCAGAUGUGAGGUGAUGGCUUCCAAAAGCAACACAGAUGCUGUAAAAUUUCCAUUGCUAUAUUUCAGCGAGGAAGCUCAGGAGACAUGCUGAAUGCUGCAGUUUAGAAUUACACUGUAACUCUCCUAGAAAUAAGAGAAUACUAAGUUUCUCAACAGUACAUUUGGCUUCAUUUUGGCUGUCAUUCAUAUACUCUUGUUUUCUUACAGCGAGAAGAAGAGAUGAAGCACAAAGAUACUGUGUGUCUUGAAGCUGUUCAGUAAUGACAGAAUUGGUAAUAUGGAACUUUAUGGUAAUUUAGUAAUGACUGCAUAUCCAAAUUCCCCAGUAAGACCAUGAUAAUUUUCAAAAUUGUCUUUCAGGUAUAUAAAACAGCACAGCUGUGAGGAGGCUGCUUUGCUUUAUGUGACUGAAAAGCAGCCUAGUUAGCUCAACACUGUGGAAUCAGAGCCCAUUGUGUGUUCCUCAUACUUGGAGACUUCCCUGAAGUCCCUAGAAGUCCUGUGAUGAAGGAAUCAAGGGUCAAGUCUUUAAAAUGGUUUGUGUGUUUAUUCCAGAAAAUUCAGCAGCUGCUUUUUCUGAAAAGCUGAACUUUGCUAUAGCAAUGGAGAAUACUUUAGAGCACUUUUUCCCCCUGGGAUUUCAAAACAGAUGUCCAGUCAUCAAAUCCUGCAGAAAUAUAAAGCUGGCAAGAAUGUUACAGAUAUUAUAACUUUUUACAAAGUUACAGAUUUGACUUGUUGUCAAAUCUAGUCACUUUCUGACUAGUCUUUGUCACUACAGAUCUUUGCUGCCACAGAUACUCACCCUCUUUUAGUCAAACAAUUCAGUUUGGUACUGGCCCCUCUAACAUAAGCUUAAUUUUUCUGCGUAUCUGAGGGUUUGCAUUUGGGAUUAUAUGGAUCCCAGGUAAUGGUAACCACAGGACAUUUUAGUUCAAAAUAAGUAAAUUUGCUUUUUUUUUUUUAACUGGAAGUAAAAAUGCUGCAUGAAAUCUUGGGUUUAAAAUGCUAUUUUGUUUAUGUAAAAAUAGAGACGUUUAGUUUAUAAGAUUGAAGAAAAAUUGCUUUUUAAUUCCCACUGAAUGUUCUCCAGUAAAUUUUAGUGUGGCAUUGUCUGCACUGGAUAGGUCACUGAAUGGUGCUUUUAUAAAAGCACUUCUUCUCUUUUGAAAAGAAGAACUUGGUCCAUGGAAAUUGUUCAAAUAAUCUUGUUAGAAUGAGGCCUUGACUGAAGGCGGUAAUUUCAUGGAUUAAACCCAGAAGGGCUGGCUGGGCUGAUCUCCUUCCUAUCACAGGCCACAGAGCUUUGUGCAGAGACUGUCUAAGCAAAUGCUGGUUAGCUGCAAGACAUGGGGGAUUUUGCAUGGACAAUACAUUGAACAACACCAUGAAACUGGAAACUGGAACUUUGUGAGGACAGGAUAAAUAGGAGCUGGAAGAAAGAGUAUUUUUACAGGCCAUUUAGGAAACACAGUGAGGUAGAGUUGUUGCAUCUAUGUUCAGAUUUCCCCUAAAAAGUUCCAAUUAAAAUUAAGAGAGACUGGUUUUUUCCCCCCCAGUCAAUCCUUUUCUCUCACAUGCCACAUGUGGUCCAGAACUGAGCAACAUGAUGGCACAUCCAACUCUGGGAAGGAAUUGCCUGGUUUGUACUUCUGUAAGCCUGAAAAGCACAAAUUAUGAGCAAAAAUCCAGUGCUGUGAAAGCUGAGGAGAGAGAUAGAAGAAUACAUUGUGCAUCUGUCUUACAGUCUGAUAUUUUUCCUUUUAUAAAAAUAAAUAAAUAAAUGGCAUUCAUACAUCUUCUGAGUCAGCCUGUACUUUAUUGUGAUUCAUGAGAACUUUUUAUAGGCAAGAACAAUGUUCUGCUUGCAUUUCUCCAGGCAUGUCAGAUCUGAUUGGGGAUGGGCACAGUACCAUGGUGGUGCUGCUGUUGUUCAAUGAGAUACAAGAGAGACUUCAGGAAACCAGAAAAUUGGCUGACUACAAUGUGCUGCCAUAGCUACUGCUGGAGUGCAGUGAGCAGGUGACUGAGGAGGAGAAGGAACUUCUGGAAGAGUACUUUGUUAUUGCUUUGUCAUAAAGGACGAUCACAAAGGGAUUGAUCAGUGCUGUGGUCUGAGUAUUGCUCUGACACUGAAGCUGUGAGUUGUGGCCCUGAAUGUGGCUGGAGGAUUUUCUGCUGACUGUGUUUAAAUUUCUUCCUGAGGCAGCUUUGAGUGCAUUGGCUGCACUAGAGAAGGAGUAUGAGCUGCAGAAUAAGUGUAAGGACUCAGUGGGAGCAGCAGUUUUGCAUGAGGGCAGUAUAAGAUGAGCUCCUAUUGAAGGGCUUUAGCCCUGCUCUCCCACACUGUGCAGUUGGUGAUUGGGCUGCAAAGUAUUGGCACUCUCAGUGUAAUUGUAUAUUGCUUCCAUUCUCAUUAGUGAAACAAUGCAGGAGGAAGGAAUACAAAAAAAUGCAGAUUAUAAAGAUUGUGAAGGAAAAUCAGUGUUCUUGAGGGUUUUUUCUAAAAUGCUGUAUUUUUCUUUUCCCACCACUAGUUAGCAAGCUGCAUUUAUAAUCCACCUGUGCUGCAGAUUGUAAUACCUCAUGGUGUGGUGUUUCACACAUGAUAAAUCAUGGGACUUGUGAAGACAAAUUGCACUGAAUUAAACAGUCUGUUGAUCCAUUGUCACUGGAUGUCAACUGUCUGCUGCUCCAUUGUCAUUGUCUCUAUUUGGAGAACAACACAAACUCCAUACAGUUGAAUUGCUGACCAUAAUGUAUGUGAGGUUAUAUGGACAGAGUGAGUAGUAUUGUCUUCCUCUGAUCACCCAGGUAACCAUGAAUUUACUUUUGGGCUGCUGUUAGAACAUUAGUAUGUAAAUGCACUCCUGAAUCUCAGGAUGGUUAUGUGCAUUCAGGUUGGUAAGGUAUUAACCACUAGUCUGGUUUCUGGGGGUUAAUAUGAGAGUAUAAACUUGCACCACUCUGAGAAUAAACAUGCACCACUCUCUUCUCAAAGUGGAAGCAUGUCCAGGCCUCUGACACACCAGUGACUCCUGCAGUUAUGUAUGUGGUUCUGUCUCCAUGCUCCACCAAAAAUUAGUGUUCAUAUAUGCUGGAAUGGCACAUUCACCAUCACUACUCCCAGCAUGGAGUCCGUGUCUUUGGUCAGUCUUCAGUUUUGGAGACCUCACUUUUAACCACUUGUGUACAAAUCCCUGCAAAGGUUCUGGUAAAUACCCACUGCUGCUGCAUUGCCCCCUGCCUUGCCUGUCUGGAAUGGGCAGCUUCCAAAUUCCAACUCCCACCUGGCCUUAAGAUGGCAUGACCCGCAGGUACCUGGACUUUGAUGUCACAGCUUUGGGGGAAUUAAUGGACUCCAUCAUUAACCUGACCUCCUUGACUGUUACUCAGUCCAUAUUUGGGUGGUAGCAGAUAGGUGAAUAGCACAUUUAACUCUGGUGGUACUGACAGGGUGAAAGGAGGAGCCACAGCAGAGGGGAUGGGGAGUGCAGGGUGUCUCUCGUGGGGAAGUCACGUUUGGGGUGGCUCAGCUGCCACACUCACACAGCUGUGGGGGCACUCCUGGCAGGAAACCCAGCCCAGUCUGUGUGCAGCUCUGUGCCAGCUCACCCAGCCUGGUGGGAGAGGGUUGGUGCAGGGACAAGAUUAAGCAGUGUAAUCCACCUUGAGCCAAGAACUUCUGCAUAAGCUGCACGGAGACAUUAGCUUGCACAUAUACGUCUCACAUGCUGUAAAUUACAUGAGAAACUAAAGAGGUGCUUAUGAGUAAGUGAACUGAUGGAAAAAUGAUGCUUUAUUUUGAAAGCCAUGGAAAAGAAUAAAAACCAGAUAUAAGAAAGCAAAACUUUGUAUGAUUGAUUUGAAGAGAAAUAUGUCACUAAAUCCUUGAACAAUGUGAAGUUGGUCAUCAAUUCUGAUACUACUUUUUGCACCUUGGAGGUCAGUGGAACUGUAAGUUAAGGGAAUAAUAGUUUGAAGUAUACAUUUUUUAUGUUUCACUGUUUCCAAUCCUGAUUUUCGAUGGAUGCCCAGUAGUAAUUUUUAAAAUACUGAAUGAUAAAAUCACAUUUUAUCCAGGAGAUAAAACUGAAAUAACAGAUGUAUCUUUCAUCACUAAUUUUGAAUAUUUAUUCUUUGCAUUUCAUUUACCCUAAACAUUUUUUUUAUUUCUAUAGUUAGACCCUGACUAAUUUUUCACUGUAUUAGUUUUGCUGGGACAACAGUGGCUGGUUAUUCCAAAUAUGAGUAAGGACAGCAAGCUUAGGCUUGUACUAAUUUUGAUGAAUAAAUUUGCCUUGAGAAUGACAAAUUGUGUUAGUACUUUUCACUUUAUUACAUUAGACAGUCAAAGAUGUUAACACUUUGUAGGGAAUGAGCAUUAGGCAGUGUUUGGAACUGCUUAUAGGGAGAUUUCAGGUGCCUGGUCUCAGCAGAAACCGCUAAAAACCUUUCUCUAUUUUUAUUUUAGUAAAAGAAUGGUGUGAUUGAAAAGCAAGAUGUUGAAAGGAAUUUCACUGCAAUAGCAAAAUGUCCUUCCUUUCAUUUUACUCCCUGAGUUCUAAAAUAAGGAUAUUUCUUUGCCAGUUCCUUUGAAUUUUCUUGAUUCUGAGUUGGCAUAAUGAUGGCAGGAAUAGUCCAUAGAGGAAUAAUCCUCUCUGAGUAUGGUGAGGGGAAAGAAAGAAGUGCCCCACUGGCAUGAGAUUUUCUGCAGUUGUCUUUUGUAGGUUCUCAACAGUGUUACAAAAGGUGCAGUCUUGAUUGAUUUCUUGUCUUUUAUUUAUUUUCUUCAUACAUUUAUUUUGCAGUUGGGAUGAGGGGAUGCAAUUGUAUGUCAGGAAACAGCCACAAGGGGAGAGAAAUACUAGAGAUUUAGUUGUAACAUUUUUCCUGGUAGUAUUAGUUGGGUGUUUCUCUGUCUUGGUCUGGUCAGGGCCUGGUUUUGGAUGAAAGGCUUUCAGUUCUUCCAGGGAUUGUGGGGUUCCAAGAAAAGGGAUGAUAAUAGCCAUGUAGGGAUAGCUGAUGCUUUUUAUUGUAUUAGUCUUAUUGGAUUUAUUCCUUCUGGUUUACUUUACUGAAAAGAGAACCCUGAAAGGGAAUAAUAAUUGGAGUAUCUUAUUUUCUUGCCACUUUGCUAAUUUUGCUAUACAUAUUUUUGUAUUAUAGAUUUCUUACUCAGUAAGUGUAGCCAUUGUAUGAAUCUUAUCUUCAUCCUUUGCUUUUGUAAGGUAGGCUGGUUGGUCUUUUAUAAGUUAGGGCUCAUACAUGAAGUUAUCACAUCCAUUCAGCUCUGUUUUUGUUUGGGCUUAGCUCCUUGGCUUUUGAACAGUCCUGCUCACAGAACUGUGAUGGAAAACUUGAAACAUUUUACUGCUGUUUAAUUUGUUUCUGAUUUGUGGGUGGGUGGGUCCAGGUGAUAUCUUUGAAUCUGCAGAUUAGUGAGAAAGACCUUUCUUAACCCAUGAAAUUUCCUGCAUGAAUUUUUGAUAAAAAAAUAAAAAUAUUUUUCUGUUUCUUUUUUGUCUUAAUUUUCCAGGAAACACAACAUGCUUUGACAGAAUUCAGAGGACUUUGGAGGACUUUGUCUGGAAACAAAAACUUGUGGAUUUGAAAUGUGUUACUGUAGUCCUCCUCUGACAUUACAACCUGAAUGCCUGUUGGCCCUGCUCUGCAAGGCUGAGGCUGCCUUCCACCUUUGACAUUUUGCCAUGAUCUUCCUCCUUGAAGGGAGUGCUGUAAAUGGGGAAUCCCUCAAAAUGAUCUGUCCUCAGAAUUCUCAUUUAAAUGUACUAGGUACUAAUUACUUUAACUUCAAGGAAAAGAGAAGAUUACCUCCUGUAAACUUUCUCAUACAAAAUAAUCUGUCCUCCUGUGAUGCUGGUUACUUGAAAAUGUCUGUUUGCUUGAGAAAAGGUUUGUCAAAUCAGUGCCUGAAUCUGCAGUGUUUAACUGCUGGCUUGGGUUUCUGCUCAGCAAUUUGUAUUUGGGGAAUUGUGAUCCUUGAUUUCUGCCAGCCUCAAUGUCAUGAACACAUCCCAUGAGCUCUCAGCUUCUCGUGGGUGACCUCACUGAAAGUUGUAAGUUUUUGGUUUCCUGUGGUUGGGAAUGCAGAAUGCACAGACUUCCUCUGUGUCACUGAGGUUAUUGACCUAGUUUUUAUUGCACCUUUGCAGAAUAAAAUUACUCCUGCACUUCCUCAGCUCUCUCUGUCCCAUCAUAUCUGAAUGCAGCAUUUUGCAAAAAAAAUCCCAAGUGAAGUUGCAACACGUGGAUCUCACAAGAGGAUGCUCUGGAAGGUGCCACACUGUUUUACAGAGCCUUGUGGUGAUGUGAAGCUGUUUGUAGACACGGGCUGGGUGCUAGAGGUGCUUGGGGUGCACUUCUCCCCCAGCUCGACUCGUUGGUUAGAAAAGAAAAGCAUUGUGGUUGUACUUGAAGGAAGAAUUCAGGAGAGGAUUCAGGGAUCUCCUGCCAGGCCUGCAGUGUGUGCUAGAAGUGCUUUGAGAGGUGAGAACUGAUCUGUGCAUCUCCCCGGGGUGUUAAUGGUUGUUUGUUUCACCUGGAACCUGAGAAAAGUGACUGGGCCACUCAUUUGCACAGUCAGCUGCAGGUAAUGCCUUAAGUGAUGACCGAGUUCCUCUUUUGCCCUCUCACUCCUCCAGAUGAGGAGCAGCCAAGCUCUGAAGGCUUAAGCAAAGGUUAAAGGUGUCCUUGAAGUCCUGCCCAGUGCAAGUGCAAGUAUAAAAAGCCAUAAAGUACAUGCUGUGGCAAUGUGAACAUUUUUUCAUAAUUUAAUGAGAGCUUUACUGAUAAAAAUUCACAGUUUCAGUUAUAAAAAAAAAGAAAAGAAAAAAAACCCCAACAAAACAAACCCAAACCAUCCAACCAACAGCGUAAUCCCUGGAAUACAUCCAGCUUUUGUACUGGAAAAGUACCUCAAAGGAGUAUGAUCUUCUCUCUUUAGUGGGAAAGUUUUUUUGCUUAUCUAAAAGGUUUUAUGCUGGCAGAACUGCAUUUCAUUGUCUACUUUUUGUGGCUAGACAGAUCCAGGUAAAGUAACUUAGUUUUAAAGGAACUAGAAACCUUAAUUCCUUUAAAUUAAAUUCCUAAGACAUCCAAAUGUCCAGGAUGCUGUGAAAAAAGGCACAAAAAUUAAAAAUAGAAGCUGAAUAUUUGCUACUGAUAGUUCAUGGCUUUGGAGAGCCAGUGGUGAUGCAGUGUUGUGGCAAAAAAAUCAAUGAAAAAGUAUCAGUUAAAGUUUCCUUUCACAGCUUUAAUUGUAAGAAGUCAGUGCUGACUGAUCUGUUAAUGUUUCAUGUGCAAAGUUGACACCGAGGGGAAGGGAUGGGUGACAUUUCUUCAAAACGUGGUAACUGCAUUUACUUAUUUUGUGGUUGAAGGACAGAAAAAUAAGAGAUGCUGAAAAUGUUUUCUAAAAUUAUGUGACCCUUCAUCAGUGUUUUACAGGUGCUGUUUAAGCCAUCUUUGCUAAAGAGAAGCUCCUUUGCUAUUAAUAUGCUGUCAUCUUUCAAAUCUCAUCAAGGCAGCACCAGGAUUUUUUUGCACAGAUUUCUUUUGACGUACAGCCUCAAUAAAUAUGGAAAUUACAACUUAAAUCUCAUUUUUUUUCUUGCAAAGCAGUGCAGUGCCCAAAUUCACUGAAUUUCCACUUUUAUUUUUUCUUAAUGUUGAAAGACAUAUAUGCAAAUUUUAUUAACAAUAUGCAUGGUUAAAUUUAGCUGCAAAUUCCAGUCAGGGAUUUUUGCUUUGUUUAUUGUCCAAGUCAAUAUGUCUGUGGAGAAAACCUCCUGCUGUGCAGGAAUACAUAGUCAGCUACUUGGAAAAGUAGAAAGUUUAAUUAUGAGAGUUUAUUCUGGAAAAAGGUAAAGCAAGCACUGGUUUUUGGGUUGGGAUUUUUUAAAUUAUGACUUCAGCUAACAGAAAUUCAACAUACGCAGUUUGUUUUGACACUAACUGUUAUCAGACAAACCACUUGAUUUUUCUUUAGCCUGGUCUUCUGUGUAACUGAGAGGCUCUGAAAAAGUAGAGGUCAUGAAUAAAUGAUGCAUUUCUUAAACUUGCAAGGUAGAUCAUGACAUAAAUGAAAUAAAAUCCAAGUGUGAAGGGAAAAAAGAAGCAUAAACACAUGUAUUGCUGACAAUAUCUUCAUUAAAAUAUACGUUAUCCUACAAAGAUAUUAGUGUCAGAUGCAAAUUUCCUUUGUUGCUCUCUCUGAAAUUAUUCUGAUUUUUUGUGUGGUAGCAGUGAAGUACCUUUAUACAAGGCUUCUGAGUGGAAGGGUAAUUUAUUGCCAAGGAGUGUUAUAAAUGAUAGCCAAAUAUAUUCUUGUGUUUGUAACAGAAAGUUCUCCAAGACUGUAGUUACUGAAGUGGUUCCCAUGUGUUCAGUUUUUGACUGAUCCAUAGCCUGGGCUUGGCUUACAGGUUCUACAGUGACACAAAUGGCACAUGAUAAUUGUGUGUGGAGAAAGGCUGGCAGCUUUACAGAGGAAAUUUCUGGACCUGUGCAUAAAUUCAGAACAAGCAACUGCCUGUAGCUUCCCUUCCCCCAAACAACUGAAUCUUUUUACUGAGUCUCAUUAAAUGGUCCUAUGUGUGGGACAUGAAAUGUAUUUAUGGUAGAGUAAGUUUUGUUCUGAGUCACUGGUGCAUCACGAGUUUCUUCACAAUGUUCUUGUGGCUGCCUGCUCAGUGAGACCGACCCAUGAGAGACACAGACCCUGUGGGAGCAGUCCCUGAACCCCACCUGGCUGAGAUGUGAGGGUGCCUAAUUCCUGUAGAAGUCUGUGGUUUUCUCUCUUCUCAUGGUAUUCACAUCAGCAGCAAGUAAUGUUAGAAGAAUAAAGUCUCUCAGGCUUUAUAUUAAGGAUUCAAUUAUUCUGUAUAAUUAGCCCUGAUUUGUUAAAUAUUUGAAACAUUUUCUACUCUUAGGUAUGGAACAGUGUACUGGAGUGAUCAAAACCAUAAAUAACUUGUACCUUUACUCAGAAAAUGCUUUUUUAUCAAAUAAUAAGGAAGAUUAAGCCUAAGUCUCUCCCUUUUUCUGUUUGGAUUUUAUUCCUACAAGAAAUAUCACUUUUGUACACAAUCUCUCAUGUAUUUCUAUUCCCUUGAAAUACAAAGAGGCAAUGGAUUCUGGUAUAAGUUAGGUAGAUUUAAUGAAAUUUAUGAGUUGUAACUUGUGCCUUGAAUAUAAAACGCUUGAGUGAGGCAUAAGGUAUUUUGCUGAUGCCAUUGUUGUCACCUGUCUGGUUUUUUCAUUCUUCUGUGCAUGUUUUUUAAAACACUUAGGAGCUGUGGAGUCUUGGGAAUAGCAGUUUCUAUAUGCCAUACAUAGCAAAUCCUUCCAAGGUCAUCUUUUUUAAAGUGUCUUCUUUUAAAAAAGCAGGGCAGACCUACCCUGAAAAAUGAGAAAAUGGUAUUACUUCCCUACUCAGAAGCUGGCUGUUACCUCAUAUAUAUGCUACUUUCCUGUUUAAUUAGAAAGUGAUUUCUCAUCUGGUGUCAGACAGAAUCAAAAUGUUGCUGCUCAUUGUCACUGGCAAGGAUUACAGGUUUAGUGGAAGUCGCCUCCUUACUGCCCACCCCAGUGAAGUUUUUCCUGUUGAAACACAGAUUCAAUCAUGAGGGAGAAUUGAUCAAAAAGCUCUUAAACCAAAGUCACUGAAAUAUUAUUUAGAGAGGUAGCAAAUUAAUUGGGGUUUUCCAUUUGUUCUAAGUUAUGACUGGGAUGGGCAUUAUAAUAGAAAUUAUAAGCACUCCUUAAUAUGUAAAGAUUGAUGGAAAUCUUUAACCUUUUCGUAAUAACAGAAUAUUAAUCUCUGUAUUUCUCUUUACAUAGACACAUGUAUAUUUUUUACUUAGUAAUAAGAGGUAGUGUUACUUUGAUAGACAGUGUAGAGUAAGGUAAAUUAAACAUCUCUACUGCUGUUCUGAGAACUUAUCUUUUUCUUAAUACAGUGUGAAUCUAAUCUGGUGUACCUAGCUUGUUGUGCAAGUCUGCAAGAGUCCCAAAACAGAAGAAGUUUAUAGCUGUUAACUAAAUGUAUACCAAUGUAAUUAAAGUGCAUUAUCUUAAAAGAAAUCCUUCUGCAUGUGUAUUAAUUCUUCUGGUGAAAGGUAACAUUGAUUAUUAUAAUAUAAACACAUGGAUCUUGCUCUCUAAUUUAAGCUGU